rfam:Medicago truncatula strain A17 chromosome 7, whole genome shotgun sequence.
ACGACCUUACUUGAACAGGAUCUGUUCUAUAGGAUCGUACUACUGUGUCCUUGAUUUCUAAGGAGACAGGAACAUACGUCUGGAUGAUGAAUGAAGACCGUGCGAUCAGAGCGUGAUUAACGGCUUAGAUGAUUCUCAUGUUGAGACAUCAUCUUGUGCUGUAGAUGAUCGUUCUCAGACACAUGCAUGUGUCUGGGGUGGUUGCACGGUGCUCUUACAGACC